ensembl:lncRNA
GCCCCUUUGUCUGCCCGCAGACACACAGCUGCCAAACAGCCAGGCUCAAAACUCUACCUUCUUGGACUCUUCCCUGUUUCCAGCCACCGACAUUUAAUCAUUUCAAUUGGACAGACAUGAACAUGACCAACUUUCGCUAGAUCCUUCUUCACAGAGAAAUCCCCAUCCCAGCAUAACCUGCACUGGCCCAUUUCACCCCCUCCCACCUUCUCUCCCUGCCUAGCUGCUCCCUGGGUUUUCUGUAUCAUUCCCUUCUUCUGCCUUCCUCCUGCAGCCUUCAGCAAUGAAGAGUAAGCUCAUAAAACAUUCACCGUGGGUAAUACACCAUGUAGGAUCUGCCUGAUCAAAGUUCUGAUAGGAUAGCCGGGUCAGUAGGAUGCUGGGCUUCCGAGAGUUGGGGCAGACUUCUCUGCCUUGGGCUCAAGUUCCAGUCACUUCCAUUAAUCCAGGCUCAAUCCUCCCUGGUGGGGUGAGGGAUCCUGGGCCCAGUAGAAGAGGGGUUUCCUAAGAGGGAGUAACUUGUAGGGGUACUCCUGAGCUAGGCAUGACUGGUAGGUGGAGCUCUGGAUAAAAGCUGAAGACAAGGGCCUCACAUGGAUACAUGGCCAGUCCACUGGGCACUUCCUCUGUGCCAGGUGUUACAGCGAGAGUUGGGAGGCACCGAGCAGCUCCAGGCUGUCCAGUGACUGUGCCACCAAGUCCCUUGCAAAGGCAAGGCUCUCGGCUGAACUACCAGACUGCCCUGGUGUGGCUCUGACGGCUGACAGUGAAUCCCAACCCAGCAGGAUGUUUUGUUCCGGAGGAGCCUUGAAGUCCAUUCGGCCUAUGAAAGAGGCAAAGUAUCUCAGGCCUGCAGGACCACCAGGUCUUCAAGUCAUGGCAAUCCCAUUGGUGUUACUGGUGAUGUGAGUACAGAUGGAGAUGAGAUUCCAGCCAAUGGGAUAUGAGGAUAAGUCCACUGGGGGUAAUUCUGAGAUGAAUUUCCUGAUUGAAAAAAGACAUUGGGAAGAUAAGGCCUGUCUUCUUCUGCUUCUUCUGUCUUCUUCCUAUCUUGUCCACCUGAGAUGCCUAGAACUAUAGCAACAAUCUUGGAAUCAUGAAUGGUGCUAAUGGAGACAGUUGUGACACACUGAGGAUGUCAGAAUUAAAAACUGCUUCAUCCAAGAUGGUGACUCGAUGACAUCAUUUAAUUCUAAAUUAAACAACCCUGGGACCCUCUUUUCUCCAGACUUACCAUAUGAUAAUAUAAAUGUUCUUUAUUGUUCAAGCCAUUUUGAGUUGAGUUUUCUAUAACUGGUGGUUACAGGCGUCCUAGCCGAAGAAUUGAUGCUUUUGAACUGUGGUGUUGGAGAAGAUUCUUGAGAGUCCCUUGGACUGCAAGGAGAUCCAACCAGUGCAUUCUGAAGGAGAUCAACCCUGGGAUUUCUUUGGAAGGACUGAUGCUAAAGCUGAAACUCCAGCACUUUGGCUACCUCAUGCGAAGAGUUGAC